rnacentral:rRNA from 1 species
UACGGAGGGUGCAAGCGUUAUCCGGAUUCACUGGGUUUAAAGGGUGCGUAGGAGGGCAGGUAAGUCAGUGGUGAAAUCUCCAAGCUUAACUUGGAAACUGCCGUUGAUACUAUCUGUCUUGAAUAUUGUGGAGGUGAGCGGAAUAUGUCAUGUAGCGGUGAAAUGCUUAGAUAUGACAUAGAACACCAAUUGCGAAGGCAGCUCACUACUCAAUCAUUGACUCUGAGGCGCGAAAGCUAGGGGAGCAAACGGG